rnacentral:rRNA from 1 species
UGGCCCAGAUYGUUUACCGUGAAAAAAUUAGAGUGUUCAAAGCAGGCAGACAUUAAUCUCUGCCACCGAAUACAUUAGCAUGGGAUAAUGGAAUAGGACCCUGUCCUCCUAUUUUCAGUUGGUUUUCGAGGACCAGGGUAAUGAUUAAUAGGGAUAGUUGGGGGCAUUAAUAUUUAAUUGUCAGAGGUGAAAUUCUUGGAUUUAUGAAAGAUUAACUUCUGCGAAAGCAUCUGCCAAGGAUGUUUUCAUUAAUCAAGAACGAAAGUUAGGGGAUCGAAGACGAUCAGAUACCGUCGUAGUCUUAACCAUAAACGAUGCCGACCAGCGAUUAGGAGACGUUGAAUACAAAACACCACCAUCAGGCGGGUCGUUCCUGGCUAAUUCUCGCGCAAGCGGGGGUUGGUGGGAGCGAUUCGUUGCCKAKACCCCYG